rnacentral:rRNA from 1 species
CGCGCAGGCGGCCAGGUAAGUCGAAUGUGAAAGCCCCCGGCUCAACUGGGGAGGGUCAUUCGAUACUGCUUGGCUUGAAGAUAGGAGAGGGAAGUGGAAUUUCAGGUGUAGUGGUGAAAUGCGUAGAUAUCUGAAGGAACACCAGUGGCGAAGGCGACUUUCUGGCCUAUUCUUGACGCUGAGGCGCGAAAGCUAGGGGAGCGAACG